GACGAACACUGGCGGCGUGCCUAACACAUGCAAGUCGAACGGAGUUACCCUUCGGGGUGACUUAGUGGCGAACGGGUGAGUAACGCGUGAGGAACCUGCCUUUCAGUGGGGGACAACAGUUGGAAACGACUGCUAAUACCGCAUAACAUCAUUAGGGGGCAUCCCUUGAUGAUCAAAGAUUUAUUGCUGAAAGAUGGCCUCGCGUCUGAUUAGCUAGUUGGUGGGGUAACGGCCUACCAAGGCGACGAUCAGUAGCCGGUCUGAGAGGAUGAACGGCCACAUUGGGACUGAGAUACGGCCCAG
rnacentral:rRNA from 1 species